rnacentral:rRNA from 1 species
GACGAACGCUGGCGGCGUGCUUAACACAUGCAAGUCGAACGAUGAAGCAAAGAAUCUAAGCUUCGGCAGAAAUUCACUUCGGAUUAGUGGCAGACGGGUGAGUAACCCUUGAGCAACCUACCUCUUACAAAGGGAUAGCCUCGGGAAACCGGGAUUUAUACCAUAUAACAUUGCGAUGAAGCAUUUCGAUGCAAUCAAAGCUACGGCGGUAAGAGAUGGGCUCGCGUCCCAUUAACCGGGUGGGGGGGUAACGGCUCACCAUAGCGACGAUGGGUAACCGGCAUGAGAGGGUGAGCCGACACACUGGCACUGAGGCACAGUCCAGACUCCUCCGGGAGGGAGCAGAGGGGAAUAUUGCACAAUGGAGGGAACUAUGAUGGAGCGACGCCGCGUAAGUGAUGAAGGAAUUCGUUUCGUAAAGCUCUGUUCUAUGGGAAGAAAAUGACUGUACCAUAGGAGAAAGCUCCGGCUAACUACGUG